UGAGGAAUAUUGGUCAAUGGGGCGAGAGCCUGAACCAGCCAAGUAGCGUGCAGGACGACGGCCCUAUGGGUUGUAAACUGCUUUUAUACGGGAAUAAAGCGGGCCACGCGUGGCCUUUUGCAUGUACCGUAUGAAUAAGGACCGGCUAAUUCCGUGCCAGCAGCCGCGGUAAUACGGAAGGUCCGGGCGUUAUCCGGAUUUAUUGGGUUUAAAGGGAACGUAGGCGGAUUUUUAAGUCAGUUGUGAAAGUUUGAGGCUCAACCUUAAAUUGCAGUUGAAACUGGAAGUCUUGAGUGCACGCAGAGGUGCCGGAAUUCAUGGUGUAGCGGUGAAAUGCUUAGAUAUCAUGAAGAACUCCGAUCGCGAAGGCAAGUGCCUGGAGUGCUACUGACGCUGAGGCUCGAAAGUGCGGGUAUCAAACAGGAUUAGAUACCCUGGUAGU
rnacentral:rRNA from 1 species